rnacentral:rRNA from 1 species
GUUAAAAAGCUCGUAGUUGGAUCUCGGGGAACGGGGGCGGUUCGUUAUUUGACGUACUGCCCAUUUGUUCGUAUUUUGCAGAGGUUGGGGGUCCCCUUGUUGGGUGUCUCCGUCGCUGCAGUUACUUGAAAAAAUAGAGUGCUCAAGCAGCUUACACGCUUGAAUAUUCGUGCAUGGAAUAAUAGAAUAGGAAGUCGUUCCUAUUUUGUUGGUUUUCGGAAAAUGACUUAAUGAUUAAUAGGGACAAUCGGGGGCAUUAGUAUUCAAACGACAGAGGUGAAAUUCUUGGACCGUUUGAAGACUAACUACUGCGAAAGCAUUUGCCAAGAGUGUUUUCAUUAAUCAAGAACGAAAGUUAGAGGUUCGAAGGCGAUCAGAUACCGCCCUAGUUCUAACCAUAAACGAUGCCAGCUAGCGAUCUGCCGAGUUUUUUUUGUANGCUCCGCAGGAAGCUUUCGGGAAACCAAAGCUUUUGGGUUCCGGGGGAAGUAUGGUUGCAAAGCUGAAACUUAAAGGAAUUGACGGAAGGGCACCACCAGGAGUGGAGCCUGCGGCUUAAUUUGACUC